GACGAACGCUGGCGGCGUGCUUAACACAUGCAAGUCGAACGAAGUGGCGAACGGGUGAGUAACGCGUACUCAACCUGCCCUUCAGAGGGGGACAACAGUUGGAAACGACUGCUAAUACCUCAUACUGAAGGAGGGGCUUGCGUCUGAUUAGCUAGUUGGAGGGGUAACGGCCCACCAAGGCGAUGAUCAGUAGACGGUCUGAGAGGAUGAACGGCCAAAUGGGGACUGGGAAACGGCCCAGACUCCUACGGGAGGCAGCAGUGGGGAAUCUUCCGCAAUGGACGAAAGUCUGACGGAGCAACGCCGCGUGAGUGAUGACGGCCUUCGGGUUGUAAAGCUCUGUUAAUCGGGACGCGGUACCGGAAUAGAAAGCCACGGCUAACUACGUGCCAGCAGCCGCGGUAAUUC
rnacentral:rRNA from 1 species